rnacentral:rRNA from 1 species
UACGUAGGCAGCAAGCGUUGUUCGGAGUUACUGGGCGUAAAGGGUGCGUAGGCGGUCCUAUAAGUAUGGUGUGAAAUCUCCCGGCUUAACUGGGAGGGUGCGCUAUAGGCUGUGGGACUAGAGUGUGGGAGAGGAAAGUGGAAUUCCUGGUGUAGCGGUGAAAUGCGUAGAUAUCAGGAGGAACACCAAUGGCGAAGGCAGCUCGCUGGAACGGUACUGACGCUGAGGCGCGAAAGCGUGGGGAGCGAACAGG